CCGCUUUCCCGCCAACUUUGAUAGGCAGCGGGGCCCGGACCGUGGCCACCAAUCAGAGGCGCUCUGGUGAAACGGAGCAAUGGUCGGCGUCAGGAGGCGGGGCUUCCCGGUCCAGCGGCCUCCUCCAGCCUUCGGGAGUGCGCAUGCGUACGUCAAGUAAAUAAACGUUCCCAGCCCUUGAAUGAAUGGGUGAAGCGAAUUACAAGAGAAUACAUAAAUGAAGGAGGGAGGGAAAGAACUUGUUUCAACGCAUCUCAAAAUUUGAUGUGCAUGCAAGUCACCUGGAGAAUGGACUGGCUUCCCCGGACUUUAUGAGCUUCCACCAGUGUGUGCACAUUCCUUUUGGGAAGGGAUGAAAACGGGAGAUAUUAACUGGUUUCUUCAAAACUCUACUUGGAGCAGAGGAUGACACGAAGUGGGGACGGGAGGGUGCAGAUGUGGUGCGACCACGUGCACAGAAGGCCUCCUCUGCAGAGCCAGCUGCUAAGGUUCCUAACUGUCCAUUGCCGGGGUGGCUGUCACAAGGUUUUG